rnacentral:rRNA from 1 species
UGGGGAAUAUUGGGCAAUGGGCGCAAGCCUGACCCAGCAACGCCGCGUGAAGGAAGAAGGCCCUCGGGUUGUAAACUUCUUUUAUAUAGGACGAAGAAGUGACGGUACUAUAUGAAUAAGCCACGGCUAACUACGUGCCAGCAGCCGCGGUAAUACGUAGGUGGCAAGCGUUAUCCGGAUUUACUGGGUGUAAAGGGCGUGUAGGCGGGAGAGCAAGUCAGAUGUGAAAACUACAGGCUUAACCUGUAGCCUGCAUUUGAAACUGUUCUUCUUGAGUGAUGGAGAGGCAGGCGGAAUUCCUAGUGUAGCGGUGAAAUGCGUAGAUAUUAGGAGGAACACCAGUGGCGAAGGCGGCCUGCUGGACAUUAACUGACGCUGAGGCGCGAAAGCGUGGGGAGCAAACAGG